rnacentral:lncRNA from 1 species
CCGCUAUACACCCAACAUCCGAUGGAACUCGGUCCCCCUAACCUGGAGGUUUAUAUACCUCCGUGUUGAGCGAAAGCCCUUGAACUUUGUAUAAUAUGAAAACUUUCUUUCAUCAGAAACUGACAUUGCAUCGAACUAUUCUCCACCAGCAUUUCUGCCUCGUUACAAAAUUAACAUUUUCUCGUCAAUCUAUACUUGCAAUAUGCAAGUGUGUACAUAAAAUAUUAGGGCAUGAAUUCAAGAAAUUUCUUGUUCCUAUAAUGGUUUCAUGAUCUCCAUGAGCACACUCAAGAGGAUGACACAUAUCAGUAAGGCACAGUGGCAGUUACAGUUCUGUGUCUUGGAUCUGUCAUAAUAGUCUGCACGUUGACAAAACCAAUUUCUCGCAUGCUACCUUCAAGAUCCGUAAGGUAGUAUUCGUCCAGAAAAGGUUCAGUGCUCUUCAUCAAUGUAAAUAACACCGGUGAUAGUUCCUGUAAUACGUGAACAUUAAGGACGCUAACUCAGUUAGUCUAGAACUGUAAGGAUUUCAUAUUCCAUUCAUAAAAGGUUGCUGAUGCUCCCAUGAUUAAAUAUUUUCAGGUUUACGCAAUGUUUCCAAAAUGUCACCAUCUUCCGACCAUUGUUCCCUUUUGGUCUAAGAAUAUAGAAAAGCGAGAUCCAGAUGUUUUCAUCAUGAGUGAUAAUGGAAAGCUUGAUCACAUGAUGAAGAAAAG